GAUUGGGGAAUUUUCCGCAAUGGGCGAAAGCCUGACGGAGCAACGCCGCGUGAGGGAUGAAGGCCUCUGGGCUGUAAACCUCUUUUAUCAAGGAAGAAGAUCUGACGGUACUUGAUGAAUAAGCCACGGCUAAUUCCGCGCCAGCAGCCGCGGUAAUACGGGAGUGGCAAGCGUUAUCCGGAAUUAUUGGGCGUAAAGCGUCCGUAGGCGGCCCUUCAAGUCUGCUGUUAAAAAGUGGAGCUUAACUCCAUCAUGGCAGUGGAAACUGUUGGGCUUGAGUGUGGUAGGGGCAGAGGGAAUUCCCGGUGUAGCGGUGAAAUGCGUAGAUAUCGGGAAGAACACCAGUGGCGAAGGCGCUCUGCUGGGCCAUCACUGACGCUCAUGGACGAAAGCCAGGGGAGCGAAAGGGAUUAGAUACCCCUGUAGUCAAU
rnacentral:rRNA from 1 species